rnacentral:antisense_RNA from 1 species
CUUCAGGGAGCCCAGCCACAGCGGCUUGUCGUCGUCGCGCUCCUGGCCGUACGUGGCCAGGACGGCCUGCGCCUC